rnacentral:rRNA from 1 species
AUUGAACGCUGGCGGCAGGCUUAACACAUGCAAGUCGAGCGGAGAUGAGGUGCUUGCACCUUAUCUUAGCGGCAGACGGGUGAGUAAUGCUUAGGAAUCUGCCUAUUAGUGGGGGACAACAUUCCGAAAGGAAUGCUAAUACCGCAUACGCCCUACGGGGGAAAGCAGGGGAUCUUCGGACCUUGCGCUAAUAGAUGAGCCUAAGUCGGAUUAGCUAGUUGGUGGGGUAAAGGCCUACCAAGGCGACGAUCUGUAGCGGGUCUGAGAGGAUGAUCCGCCACACUGGGACUGAGACACGGCCCAGACUCCUACGGGAGGCAGCAGUGGGGAACAUUGGACAAUGGGCGGAAGCCUGAUCCAGCCAUGCCGCGUGUGUGAAGAAGGCCUUUUGGUUGUAAAGCACUUUAAGCGAGGAGGAGGCUACCUGGAUUAAUACUCUAGGAUAGUGGACGUUACUCGCAGAAUAAGCACCGGCUAACUCUGUGCCAGCCGCCGCCGUAAGAC